ACGGGCAUGGUGUAAAGGUAGCACACAGGCUCCCGAGGCCUGACAGGGGCUUCCAACCCCUCUGUGUCGGUUCGAGUCCGGCUGCCCGUGCAA
rnacentral:tRNA from 1 species